rnacentral:rRNA from 1 species
UCGAUUGAGUUUGAUCCUGGCUCAGAAUCAACGCCGGCGGCGUGCCUCAGACAUGCAAGUCGAGCGAUUAAAGCUCUCUUCGGAGAGUGCAUAGAGUGGCGCACGGGUGAGUAACACGUAAGUAAUCUACCCUCGAGUGGGGAAUAACAACCGGAAACGGUUGCUAAUACCGCAUAAUGCAGCGGCACCGCAAGGUGACAGUUGUUAAAGAUUCAUCGCUUGAGGAGGAGCUUGCGGCAGAUUAGCUAGUUGGUAAGGUAAUGGCUUACCAAGGCUACGAUCUGUAACCGGUCUAAGAGGACGGUCGGUCACACUGACACUGAAUAACGGGUCAGACUCCUACGGGAGGCAGCAGUCGGGAAUUUUGGGCAAUGGGCGAAAGCCUGACCCAGCAACGCCGCGUGAAGGAUGAAGUAUUUCGGUAUGUAAACUUCGAAAGAAUAGGAAGAAUAAAUGACGGUACUAUUUAUAAGGUCCGGCUAACUACGUGCCAGCAGCCGCGGUAAUACGUAGGGACCAAGCGUUGUUCGGAUUUACUGGGCGUAAAGGGCGCGUAGGCGGUGUUGUAAGUCACUUGUGAAAUCUCUGAGCUUAACUCAGAACGGCCAAGUGAUACUGCAGCACUAGAGUGCAGAAGGGGCAAUCGGAAUUCUUGGUGUAGCGGUGAAAUGCGUAGAUAUCAAGAGGAACA